UACGUAAGGUGCAAGCGUUAAUCGGAAUUACUGGGCGUAAAGCGUGCGCAGGCGGCUCUGCAAGACAGAUGUGAAAUCCCCGGGCUCAACCUGGGAACUGCAUUUGUGACUGCGGGGCUAGAGUGUGGCAGAGGGGGAUGGAAUUCCGCGUGUAGCAGUGAAAUGCGUAGAGAUGUGGAGGAAUACCGAUGGCGAAAGCAGCCCCCUGGGCCAAUACUGACGCUCAUGCACGAAAGCGUGGGGAGCAAACAGG
rnacentral:rRNA from 1 species